ensembl:lncRNA
ACCAGGACUAAACCAGGACUAAACCAGGUCUAAACCAGGUCUAAACCAGGACUAAACCAGGUCUAAACCAGGACUUAACCAGGUCUAAACCAGGACUAAACCAGGACUAAACCAGGUCUAAACCAGGACUAAACCAGGACUAAACCAGGACUAAACCAGGUCUAAACCAGGUCUAAACCAGGUCUAAACCAGGACUAAACCAGGUCUAAACCAGGACUAAACCAGGACUAAACCAGGUCUAAACCAGGUCUAAACCAGGACUAAACCAGAUCUAAACCAGG